UUGAAGCAGCUAGAGAUAGCUGUGUCCUUCGGGACAAGGAGACAGGUGGUGCAUGGUUGUCGUCAGCUCGUGUCGUGAGAUGUUGGGUUAAGUCCCGCAACGAGCGCAACCCUCGACCUUAGUUGCCAGCAUUCAGUUGGGCACUCUAAGGUGACUGCCGGCUAAAAGUCGGAGGAAGUGGGGAUGACGUCAAAUCAUCAUGCCCCUUAUGACCUGGGCUACACACGUGCUACAAUGGGCGGUACAAAGGGUCGCGAACCCGCAGGGGGAGCCAAUCCCAAAAAAGCCGCUCUCAGUUCGGAUUGCAGGCUGCAACUCGCCUGCAUGAAGCCGGAAUCGCUAGUAAUCGCGGAUCAGCAUGCCGCGGUGAAUACGUUCCCGGGCCUU
rnacentral:rRNA from 1 species